UACCAGCACCCCGAGUGGUCGGGACGUUUAUUGGGCCUAAAGCAUCCGUAGCCGGUUCUACAAGUCUUCCGUUAAAUCCAACUGCUUAACAGGUGGGCUGCGGAAGAUACUAUAGAGCUAGGAGGCGGGAGAGGCAAGCGGUACUCGAUGGGUAGGGGUAAAAUCCGUUGAUCCAUUGAAGACCACCAGUGGCGAAGGCGGCUUGCCAGAACGCGCUCGACGGUGAGGGAUGAAAGCUGGGGGAGCAAACCAG
rnacentral:rRNA from 1 species